rnacentral:rRNA from 1 species
GAUGAACGCUGGCGGCGUGCUUAACACAUGCAAGUCGAGCGAAGCAGUUAAGAAGAUUCUUCGGAUGAUUCUUGACUGACUGAGCGGCGGACGGGUGAGUAACGCGUGGGUGACCUGCCCCAUACCGGGGGAUAACAGCUGGAAACGGCUGCUAAUACCGCAUAAGCGCACAGAGCUGCAUGGCUCGGUGUGAAAAACUCCGGUGGUAUGGGAUGGGCCCGCGUCUGAUUAGGCAGUUGGCGGGGCAACGGCCCACCAAACCGACGAUCAGUAGCCGGCCUGAGAGGGCGACCGGCCACAUUGGGACUGAGACACGGCCCAAACUCCUACGGGAGGCAGCAGUGGGGAAUAUUGCACAAUGGGGGAAACCCUGAUGCAGCGACGCCGCGUGAGCGAAGAAGUAUUUCGGUAUGUAAAGCUCUAUCAGCAGGGAAGAUAAUGACGGUACCUGACUAAGAAGCCCCGGCU